rnacentral:rRNA from 1 species
GAUGAACGCUGGCGGCGUGCUUAAUACAUGCAAGUCGAGCGAACAGACCAGGAGCUUGCUCCUCUGACGUUAUCGGCGAACGGGGGAGUAACACUGGGAUAACCGCCCUAUAAUACUGGGAUAACUUCGGGAAGCCGGAGUUAUUAGGGGAUAUUUGAUUGAACCGCAUGGUUUAAUAGUGAAAGACGGUUUUGCUUUCACUUAUAGAUGGAGCGGCGCCGCAUUAGCUAGUUGGUAAGGUAAGGGCGUACCAAGGCAACGAUGACUAGCCGACGGGGGAGGGGGAUCGGCCACCAUGGAACUGAGAAGCGGUCCAGCCUACUCCGGCAGGCGGCAGUAGGGAAUCUUACUGCAUGAGCGAAAGCCUGCCGGAGCAGCGCCGCGUGGGUAAUGAAGGUCUCCGGCUCGUAAAACUCUGCUAUUGGGGAAGAAGAAAUGUGUACGUAACUAUGCACGUCUUGCCGGUACCUAAUUAGAAAGCCACGGCUAACUACGUG